rnacentral:rRNA from 1 species
AUGAGUGCACUAAUAUGGAACUGCCGGGGGGAGGGGAACCGCCGGUCAGUUCUUGAGGUUUUGUCCCUCUCAAAAUCCAAUUCCCCGGGGCUUAUUUUGCUUCCAGAAAUGAGACAAGCCUCAUGUAAGAUGGAGAAGUUGAAUUGGAGACUACAAAUGAAAGGUUUUGUGGGAGUGUCUUGUGAGGGUCUUAGUUGGUGACUCACACUUUAUUGGGAUGAGAAGUUGCAGGUAACGGUGCUAGAUUCGUGUGCAUGGUACAUUAAUGUGUGA